rnacentral:rRNA from 1 species
CCUACGGGAGGCUGCAGGGAGGAAUAUUGGUCAAUGGGCGGGAGACUGAACCAGCCAAGCCGCGGGAGGGAUGAAGGUACAGAGGAUCGUAAACCUCUUUUGUCAGGGAACAAAGUCGGGGACGCGUCCCCGGAUGAGUGUACCUGAAGAAAAAGCAUCGGCUAACUCCGUGCCAGCAGCCGCGGUAAUACGGAGGGUGCGAGCGUUAUCCGGAUUUAUUGGGUGAAAAGGGUGCGCAGGGGGGCUGUUAAGUCAGCGGUAAAAGCCCGGGGCUCAACCCCGACCCGCCGUUGAAACUGGCAGUCUCGAGUUGGGGAUAGGUAUGCGGAAUGCGCGGUGUAGCGGUGAAAUGCAUAGAUAUCGCGCAGAACUCCGAUUGCGAAGGCAGCAUGCCGGAUCCACACUGACGCUGAGGCACGAAAGCGUGGGUAUCGAACAGGAUUAGAUACCCUUGUAGUC